rnacentral:rRNA from 1 species
GAUGAACGCUAGCGGCAGGCUUAAUACAUGCAAGUCGAGGGGCAGCAGGGGUAGCAAUACUCGCUGGCGACCGGCAAACGGGUGAGGAACAUGUACGCAACCUUCCUUUAACUGGAGGAUAGCCCCUCGAAAGAGGGAUUAAUACUCCGUAACAUAAUGAAGUGGCAUCACUUUAUUAUUAUAGCUCCGGCGGUUAAAGAUGGGCGUGCAACUGAUUAGAUAGUUGGCGGGGUAACGGCCCACCAAGUCUGCGAUCAGUAACUGGUGUGAGAGCACGACCAGUCACACGGGCACUGAGACACGGGCCCGACUCCUACGGGAGGCAGCAGUAAGGAAUAUUGGUCAAUGGACGCAAGUCUGAACCAGCCAUGCCGCGUGGAGGAUUAAGGCCCUCUGGGUUGUAAACUCCUUUUAUCUGGGAAGAAAUGUGUUUUUUCUAAGACACUUGACGGUACCAGAGGAAUAAGCACCGGCUAACUCCGUGCCAGCAGCCGCGGUAAUACGGAGGGUGCAAGCGUUAUCCGGAUUCACUGGGUUUAAAGGGUGCGUAGGCGGGCAGAUAAGUCAGUGGUGAAAUCUUCGAGCUUAACUCGGAAACUGCCGUUGAUACUAUUUGUCUUGAAUAUUGUGGAGGUAAGCGG